ACUAGAAUCACACCAAAAAUCUUUUCUCAAAAGAUCUCACCAUCUAGAUUCGAUUCAAAAAUCAAACUAUUGAAAAAACUAAACCCUAAGUUAGCAACCCUUGCCUUUCUUUCUCUCUUGUCUUUUCUUUCUAUUUUUCUCUCCCUUUUUUUUCUCAGAUUUUUUGUGUCUUUUUUCAUCUCAAUCUCAUGCCCAAACACU
rnacentral:lncRNA from 1 species